rnacentral:rRNA from 1 species
GAUGAACGCUGGCGGCGUGCCUAAUACAUGCAAGUCGAGCGAACGGACGAGAAGUUUGCGGCUCUCAUGUUAGCGGAGCACGGGUGAGUAACACGUGUAUCACCUACCUAUAUGACUGGGAAAACUACGGGAAACCGUAGCUAAUACGGGAGAAGAUUUUGAUCCACAUGGUGCAAAAGAGAGAUACGGCCUUGCUGUAACUUAUAGAUGGAUCUGCGCUGCAUUAGCUGGUUGGGAAGUUAAAGGCUUACCAAGGCAACGAUGCAUAGCCGACCUGAGAGGGUGAUCGGCGACAUUGGAGGUGAGACGCGGUCCUGACUCCUACGGGAGGCAGCAGUAGGGAAUCUUCCGCAGUGGGCGAAAGCCUGACGGAGCGACGCCGAGUGAGUGACAGAGGUCUUCGGAUCGUAAUACUCUGUUAUUAGGGAAGAACAUAUGUGUAAUUAGCUGUACACAGCGUGACGGUACCUAAUAAGAAAGCACCGGCUAACUACGUG